rnacentral:lncRNA from 1 species
CACUUGGUUCUCCAUCCAUUUCCAAUCGUUCUGCUAGCUGCUAUGGGCUAGCCAUUGAUCCACUGACCCCUGUACAUAUGUCCAGUAGGGACAUUUUUUCAUUCUUUUAUUCCUUAAAUUCGAUUCCUUCUUUCUUUCCUUUUCCUGCUCAUUUGACUCCAGAUUAUGUGCAAACUCCAUCCACCCUAGACAGUGCCAUCGCUUCUCUGCUCGUUUGGGUUCAGUUUUUGACUGGGAGGGAGUUGUUCCAUGACAUUUUAACUGGAACCAAUGCCAAAGCUGGGGUUGAAAUAUAUGCUCCCCAAUUUUUUGCUCGCCAACUU